ACCAGGCCUUGACAUGCAGAGAACUUUCCAGAGAUGGAUUGGUGCCUUCGGGAACUCUGACACAGGUGCUGCAUGGCUGUCGUCAGCUCGUGUCGUGAGAUGUUGGGUUAAGUCCCGUAACGAGCGCAACCCUUGUCCUUAGUUACCAGCACGUUAUGGUGGGCACUCUAUGGAGACUGCCACCUAAAGUGGAGGAAGGUGGGGAUGACGUCAAGUCAGCAUGGCCCUUACUCCGGGGCUACACACGUGCUACAAUGGUCGGUACAAAGGGUUGCCAAGCCGCGAGGUGGAGCUAAUCCCAUAAAACCGAUCGUAGUCCGGAUCGCAGUCUGCAACUCGACUGCGUGAAGUCGGAAUCGCUAGUAAUCGUGAAUCAGAAUGUCACGGUGAAUACGUUCCCGGGCCUU
rnacentral:rRNA from 1 species